rnacentral:misc_RNA from 1 species
CAGAGCUGGUGGAGCUACAG